CUGGAAGUAUUUAAAAAACAGAUCCUAUUCGUUUUCGGACGAAGGACAGGCCGUGAUAUAUAGCCUUAGUUCCUGGCACGGCAUAAAAUACCAAAAAACAAUCACAAGGACGGAGACGUGUCCACUGUUCGGACCACAUCAGUGCUAGCUUUUACAGAUUUUCCUGGAUGUACACCAUGACUUCUGAGCCAUUCUUCAGCAAAAGUAACCAAAGUCCGUAUCAUGGGCUGGUUUAGCAGCUUUGCAGCCUCAGUGCUUAGGUGGCACUUCAACUCAUCACCAUCUUCCUCACUCAAACUCUCAGAUCGGACAGCGAUCUCUGGAAUGACUGAUGGAUAGUUGUGCCACAUAGCAGACUGAUCGCCCA